CCUACGGGAGGCAGCAGUGGGGAAUAUUGGACAAUGGGCGCAAGCCUGAUCCAGCAAUGCCGCGUGUGUGAAGAAGGCCUUCGGGUUGUAAAGCACUUUUAUCAGGAACGAAAUACCACGGGUUAAUACCCUAUGGGGCUGACGGUACCUGAGGAAUAAGCACCGGCUAACUUCGUGCCAGCAGCCGCGGUAAUACGAAGGGUGCAAGCGUUAAUCGGAAUUACUGGGCGUAAAGGGUGCGUAGGCGGUUAGUUAAGUCUGUCGUGAAAUCCCCGGGCUCAACCUGGGAAUGGCGAUGGAUACUGGCUGGCUAGAGUGUGUCAGAGGAUGGUGGAAUUUCCGGUGUAGCGGUGAAAUGCGUAGAGAUCGGAAGGAACAUCAGUGGCGAAGGCGGCCAUCUGGGACAACACUGACGCUGAAGCACGAAAGCGUGGGGAGCAAACAGGAUUAGAUACCCUGGUAGUCCACGCCCUAAACGAUGCGAACUGGAUGUUGGUCUCAACUCGGAGAUCAGUGUCGAAGCUAACGCGUUAAGUUCGCCGCCUGGGGAUACGGUCGCAAGACUGAAACUCAAAUGAAAUUGACGGCUGAGACAGCGAGGAGACAGAGGGAGGAG
rnacentral:rRNA from 1 species